rnacentral:rRNA from 1 species
AUACGUAGGGGGCGAGCGUUGUCCGGAAUGAUUGGGCGUAAAGGGCGCGUAGGCGGCCUGUUAAGUCUGGAGUGAAAGUCCUGUUUUCAAGAUGGGAAUUGCUUUGGAUACUGAUGGGCUUGAGUGCAGGAGAGGUUAUCGGAAUUCCCGGUGUAGCGGUGAAAUGCGUAGAGAUCGGGAGGAACACCAGUGGCGAAGGCGGGUAACUGGACUGCAACUGACGCUGAGGCGCGAAAGUGUGGGGAGCAAACAGGAUUAGAUACCCUGGUAGUCCACACUGUAAACGAUGAAUGCUAGGUGUAGGGGGUAUCGACCCCUUCUGUGCCGCAGUCAACACAAUAAGCAUUCCGCCUGGGGAGUACGGCCGCAAGGUUGAAACUCAAAGGAAUUGACGGGG